rnacentral:rRNA from 1 species
UACGUAGGGGGCUAGCGUUGUCCGGAAUCAUUGGGCGUAAAGAGCGUGUAGGCGGCCCGGUAAGUCCGCUGUAAAAGUCAAAGGCUCAACCUUUGAAUGUCAGUGGAUACUGCGGGUCUCGAGUCCGGGAGAGGUGAGUGGAAUUCCUAGUGUAGAGGUGAAAUUCGUAGAUAUUAGGAAGAACACCAGUGGCGAAGGCGGCUCACUGGCCCGGUACUGACGCUGAGGCGCGAAAGCGUGGGGAGCAAACAGG